GAGUGCCGGCGCUAACGCAUUAAGUGCCCCGCCUGGGGAGUACGGCGGCCUAUCAGCUUGUUGGCGGGGUAAUGGCCCACCAAGGCGACGACGGGUAGCUGGUCUGAGAGGAUGGCCAGCCACAUUGGGACUGAGAGACGGCCCAGACUCCUACGGGAGGCAGCAGUGGGGAAUCUUGCGCAAUGGCCGAAAGGCUGACGCAGCGACGCCGCGUGUGGGAGGACGCCUUUCGGGGUGUAAACCACUGUUGCCCGGGACGAACAGCCAGUUUCGACUGGUCUGACGGUACCGGGUGAGGAAGCACCGGCUAACUCCGUGCCAGCAGCCGCGGUAAUACGGAGGGUGCGAGCGUUGUCCGGAAUCAUUGGGCGUAAAGGGCGCGUAGGUGGCGGGACAAGCGUGCGGUGAAAGCUCGGGGCUCAACCCCGCGUCGGCCGUGCGAACUGUUUUGCUUGAGCACUGUAGAGGCAGGCGGAAUUCCGGGUGUAGCGGUGGAAUGCGUAGAGAUCCGGAAGAACACCGGUGGCGAAGGCGGCCUGCUGGGCAGUGGCUGACACUGAGGCGCGACAGCGUGGGGAGCAAACAGGAUUAGAUACCCUGGUAGUCCACGCCGUAAACGAUGGGCACUAGGCGCUUGGGGGAGCGACCCUCCGAGGGCCGGCGCUAACGCAUUAAGUGCCCCGCCUGGGGAGUACGG
rnacentral:rRNA from 1 species